AGGACGAACGGCUGGCGGCGUGCUUCAUACAUGCAAGUCGAACGAUAAGGUCUCUUCGGAGACACAUAAGUGGCGGACGGGUGAGUAAUGUGUAGAGAAUCUGCCCUAGAGUGGGGGACAACAGUUGGAAACGACUGCUAAUACCGCAUAUGCGCGUACCUGUGAUGGUAUUCGUGAAAAACUCCGGUGCUCUGGGAUGAGUCUGCAUCUGAUUAGCUAGUUGGGGGUGUAAUGGACCACCAAGGCGACGAUCAGUAGCUGGUUUGAGAGGAUGAUCAGCCACAAUGGGACUGAGACACGGCCCAUACUCCUACGGGAGGCAGCAGUAGGGAAUUUUUGCGCAAUGGGCGAAAGCCUGACGCAGCAACGCCGCGUGAUUGAAUAAGCCCUUCGGGGUGUAAAGAUCUGUCAGUAGGGACGAAACUUGACGGUACCUACAGAGGAAGCAUCGGCUAACUCCGUGCCAGCAGCGGC
rnacentral:rRNA from 1 species